rnacentral:antisense_RNA from 1 species
CUUCAGCGAGCCGAGCCGGAGUGGCUUGUCCUCGGCGCGGUCCUGGCCGUACGUGUUGAUGAGUGCCUGGGCCUC